CGCUCGCUAGCAGUCUUGCCACAAGAGCACA
rnacentral:piRNA from 1 species